GGAUGUCUGGGAGAUCUGGCUGUGACAUCAGUCACCCCACUGAUCUCCAGGGUUGAUCUGGCUGAUCUGGCUGGUUAGGCGGCUGUCUCCUUCCUCCCUCACUGCUCCAUGUGUGUCCCUUUAAAAGCUGCAUGCUCAGUUGAAGAGGACAACCAUCCCCCAUAGAGGAGGACUGGUCUUCGGUCAAAGGUAUAUGCGUAGCUGUGCUCCCCUGUGAGAAUCUCCAAAUAAGCUCUCAAGGAAAAGGGGUUACCUCCAAAGUGCUCAUUCCCCAUUUCCACAUCCGGUCUCAGUUACC
rnacentral:snRNA from 1 species